UACGGAAGGGGCAAGCGUUGUUCGGAAUCAUUGGGCGUAAAGGGCGCGUAGGUGGUUCUGUAUGUCUACCGUGAAAGCAUACAGCUCAACUGUAUUUUGUCGGUAGAAACUGCAGGACUUGAGGCUGGGAGGGGCUGGUGGAAUUCCCUGUGUAGCGGUGAAAUGCGUAGAGAUGGGGGAGAACACUCGUGGCGAAGGCGAGGUGCUGGACCCCAUCUGACGCUGAGGCGCGAAAGCCAGGGGAGCGAACGGG
rnacentral:rRNA from 1 species